AUACGUAGGGUGCAAGCGUUAAUCGGAAUUACUGGGCGUAAAGCGUGCGCAGGCGGUUUUGUAAGACAGUGGUGAAAUCCCCGGGCUCAACCUGGGAACUGCCAUUGUGACUGCAAGGCUGGAGUGCGGCAGAGGGGGGUGGAAUUCCGCGUGUAGCAGUGAAAUGCGUAGAUAUGCGGAGGAACACCGAUGGCGAAGGCAAUCCCCUGGGCCUGCACUGACGCGCAUGCGCGAAAGCGUGGGGAGCAAACAGGAUUAGAUACCCUGGUAGUCCACGCCCUAAACGAUGUCAACUGGUUGUUGGGGAUUUAUUUUCUCAGUAACGAAGCUAGCGCGUGAAGUUGACCGCCUGGGGAGUACGGCCGCAAGGUUAAAACUCAAAUGAAUUGACGGGG
rnacentral:rRNA from 1 species